GGUUAAGCGACUAAGCGUACACGGUGGAUGCCCUGGCAGUCAGAGGCGAUGAAGGACGUGCUAAUCUGCGAAAAGCGCCGGCGAGGUGAUAUGAACCUUUGACCCGGCGAUGUCCGAAUGGGGAAACCCAGUGUGUUCCGACACACUAUCGUUAACUGAAUACAUAGGUUAACGAGGCGAACCGGGGGAACUGAAACAUCUAAGUACCCCGAGGAAAAGAAAUCAACCGAGAUUCCCCCAGUAGCGGCGAGCGAACGGGGAGCAGCCCAGAGUCUGAAUCAGCUUGUGUGUUAGUGGAAGCGUCUGGAAAGUCGCACGGUACAGGGUGACAGUCCCGUACACGAAAGCACACAGGUUGUGAACUCGAAGAGUAGGGCGGGACACGUGGUAUCCUGUCUGAAUAUGGGGGGACCAUCCUCCAAGGCUAAAUACUCCUGACUGACCGAUAGUGAACCAGUACCGUGAGGGAAAGGCGAAAAGAACCCCGGCGAGGGGAGUGAAAAAGAACCUGAAACCGUGUACGUACAAGCAGUGGGAGCACCUUCGUGGUGUGACUGCGUACCUUUUGUAUAAUGGGUCAGCGACUUAUAUUCUGUAGCAAGGUUAACCGUAUAGGGGAGCCGAAGGGAAACCGAGUCUUAACUGGGCGUUAAGUUGCAGGGUAUAGACCCGAAACCCGGUGAUCUAGCCAUGGGCAGGUUGAAGGUUGGGUAACACUAACUGGAGGACCGAACCGACUAAUGUUGAAAAAUUAGCGGAUGACUUGUGGCUGGGGGUGAAAGGCCAAUCAAACCGGGAGAUAGCUGGUUCUCCCCGAAAGCUAUUUAGGUAGCGCCUCGUGAACUCAUCUUCGGGGGUAGAGCACUGUUUCGGCUAGGGGGCCAUCCCGGCUUACCAACCCGAUGCAAACUACGAAUACCGAAGAAUGUUAUCACGGGAGACACACGGCGGGUGCUAACGUCCGUCGUGAAGAGGGAAACAACCCAGACCGCCAGCUAAGGUCCCAAAGUCAUGGUUAAGUGGGAAACGAUGUGGGAAGGCACAGACAGCCAGGAUGUUGGCUUAGAAGCAGCCAUCAUUUAAAGAAAGCGUAAUAGCUCACUGGUCGAGUCGGCCUGCGCGGAAGAUGUAACGGGGCUAAACCAUGCACCGAAGCUGCGGCAGCGACACUAUGUGUUGUUGGGUAGGGGAGCGUUCUGUAAGCCGUUGAAGGUGUGCUGUGAGGCAUGCUGGAGGUAUCAGAAGUGCGAAUGCUGACAUAAGUAACGAUAAAGCGGGUGAAAAGCCCGCUCGCCGGAAGACCAAGGGUUCCUGUCCAACGUUAAUCGGGGCAGGGUGAGUCGACCCCUAAGGCGAGGCCGAAAGGCGUAGUCGAUGGGAAACAGGUUAAUAUUCCUGUACUUGGUGUUACUGCGAAGGGGGGACGGAGAAGGCUAUGUUAGCCGGGCGACGGUUGUCCCGGUUUAAGCAUGUAGGCGGAGGUUCCAGGUAAAUCCGGUACCUUAUUAACGCUGAGGUGUGAUGACGAGGCACUACGGUGCUGAAGUAACAAAUGCCCUGCUUCCAGGAAAAGCCUCUAAGCAUCAGGUAACAUCAAAUCGUACCCCAAACCGACACAGGUGGUCAGGUAGAGAAUACCAAGGCGCUUGAGAGAACUCGGGUGAAGGAACUAGGCAAAAUGGUGCCGUAACUUCGGGAGAAGGCACGCUGAUAUGUAGGUGAAGCCCCUGCGGGUGGAGCUGAAAUCAGUCGAAGAUACCAGCUGGCUGCAACUGUUUAUUAAAAACACAGCACUGUGCAAACACGAAAGUGGACGUAUACGGUGUGACGCCUGCCCGGUGCCGGAAGGUUAAUUGAUGGGGUUAGCGGCAACGCGAAGCUCUUGAUCGAAGCCCCGGUAAACGGCGGCCGUAACUAUAACGGUCCUAAGGUAGCGAAAUUCCUUGUCGGGUAAGUUCCGACCUGCACGAAUGGCGUAAUGAUGGCCAGGCUGUCUCCACCCGAGACUCAGUGAAAUUGAACUCGCUGUGAAGAUGCAGUGUACCCGCGGCAAGACGGAAAGACCCCGUGAACCUUUACUAUAGCUUGACACUGAACACUGGUCCUUGAUGUGUAGGAUAGGUGGGAGGCUUUGAAGCGUGGACGCCAGUCUGCGUGGAGCCGUCCUUGAAAUACCACCCUUUAAUGGCUGGUGUUCUAACGUAGACCCGUAAUCCGGGUUGCGGACAGUGUCUGGUGGGUAGUUUGACUGGGGCGGUCUCCUCCCAAAGAGUAACGGAGGAGCACGAAGGUUAGCUAAUCCUGGUCGGACAUCAGGAGGUUAGUGCAAUGGCAUAAGCUAGCUUGACUGCGAGAGUGACGGCUCGAGCAGGUGCGAAAGCAGGUCAUAGUGAUCCGGUGGUUCUGAAUGGAAGGGCCAUCGCUCAACGGAUAAAAGGUACUCCGGGGAUAACAGGCUGAUACCGCCCAAGAGUUCAUAUCGACGGCGGUGUUUGGCACCUCGAUGUCGGCUCAUCACAUCCUGGGGCUGAAGUAGGUCCCAAGGGUAUGGCUGUUCGCCAUUUAAAGUGGUACGCGAGCUGGGUUUAGAACGUCGUGAGACAGUUCGGUCCCUAUCUGCCGUGGGCGCUGGAGAAUUGAGGGGGGCUGCUCCUAGUACGAGAGGACCGGAGUGGACGCAUCACUGGUGUUCGGGUUGUCAUGCCAAUGGCACUGCCCGGUAGCUAAAUGCGGAAAAGAUAAGUGCUGAAAGCAUCUAAGCACGAAACUUGCCCCGAGAUGAGUUCUCCCUGAGACUUUAAGUCUCCUGAAGGAACGUUGAAGACGACGACGUUGAUAGGUCGGGUGUGUAAGCGCAGCGAUGCGUUGAGCUAACCGAUACUAAUGAACCGUGAGGCUUAACCUU
rnacentral:rRNA from 1 species